UACGGGGGGGCAAGCGUUGUUCGGAAUUACUGGGCGUAAAGGGCUCGUAGGCGGCCAACUAAGUCGGAUGUGAAAUCCCCAGGCUCAACUUGGGAACUGCAUCCGAUACUGGAUGGCUUGAAUUCGGGAGAGGGAUGCAGAAUUCCAGGUGUAGCGGUGAAAUGCGUAGAUAUCUGGAGGAAUACCGGUGGCGAAGGCGGCAUCCUGGACCGACAUUGACGCUGAGGAGCGAAAAGCUAGGGGGAGCAAACGGGGGAUUAAGAAACCCUU
rnacentral:rRNA from 1 species